GGAGGAUUAGCUCAGCUGGGAGAGCAUCUGCCUUACAAGCAGGGGGUCACAGGUUCGAUCCCUGUAUCCUCCA
rfam:Lactobacillus floricola DSM 23037 = JCM 16512 strain DSM 23037 NODE_36, whole genome shotgun sequence.